rnacentral:rRNA from 1 species
GAUGAACGCUGGCGGCGUGCCUAAUACAUGCAAGUCGAGCGAACGGACGAGAAGCUUGCUUCUCUGAUGUUAGCGGCGGACGGGUGAGUAACACGUGGAUAACCUACCUAUAAGUCUGGGAUAACUUCGGGAAACCGGAGCUAAUACUGGCUAAUAUUUUGAACCGCAUGGUUCAAAAGUGAAAGACGGUCUUGCUGUUACUUAUAGACGGUUCCGCGCCGCAUUAGCUAGUUGGUAAGGUAACGGCUUACCAAGGCAACGAUGCAUAGCCGACCUGAGAGGGUGAUCGGCCACACUGGAACUGAGACACGGUCCAGACUCCUACGGGAGGCAGCAGUAGGGAAUCUUCCGCAAAGGGCGAAAGCCUGACGGAGCAACGCCGCGUGAGUGAUGAAGGUCUUCGGAUCGUAAAACUCUGUUAUUAGGGAAGAACAUAUGUGUAAGUAACUGUGCACAUCUUGACGGUACCUAAUCAGAAAGCCACGGCUAACUACGUG